UCAACCCACAGCAACUCCUCUGGCAGAGACUUUUAUCUGCCCCCCAGUACCAUGCUGUUUCAGUGACUGUGGCCUUAUAGCGUAGCUUGAAAUCAGGUGGGUCUUAUUCAAUCCACUGAAGUAUAUUAAGAGAAUAACGACUGACCUUUCUUGAGGAAGAGGAAAUUGUGCCAGCAGACAGCCUGUGGAGUUGAGCUGCAACAUGGACACUUGCCUGCGUCUCCAGCCUUCUGCCCUACCCUGCAUAUGUUGGACUUACCAGCCUCCACAAUGUGAUGCAAAGCAGAGUCCUUAACCUUAGGAAGUGCAUGGUUUAGUAGGGAGAGAGCCAAAAAGCUAACAUUGAAAGAAAC